rnacentral:misc_RNA from 1 species
AAGAGCAACUGCAGUAACAUCUAAAUUCAAGACAAAGAAAGUUAAGUUUAUUGGCAUCAUGCUUGCACUGCAGCUGUCCGUCUUGUAGAUGUUGCAAAAAGGAGUUGUGUAAAUUUUUGUUCGGUUAUCUUUUUUUGUUUCCUUAUAAACAUUACAGAUAUUGUUUUUACCUCAAAGAUUUUUCCCUUAAUCAGGUUAUUAUGCCUUUUCCUGUACUUCAGUUUAACUCCCCUUCCAGUGGGUGUUCUGAAAUCCAGGAUGUUUGCCCAGUUAACUUACUUAUGUGAUUGGUUUCGAUUGAUGAGGAGAUUGUUUUGAUUUAACAUUAUUUGAAGUAGUGAUUAUUCUUCGUGCUGCCAAAAAAAUC